rnacentral:rRNA from 1 species
AACGAACGCUGGCGGCAGGCCUAACACAUGCAAGUCGAGCGAACCCUUCGGGGUUAGCGGCGGACGGGUUAGUAACGCGUGGGAAUAUACCCUUUGGUACGGAAUAGCCUCGGGAAACUGAGAGUAAUACCGUAUGUGCCCUGGGAAGGAUUAUCGCCAAGAUUAGCCGCGUGGAUUAGAUAGUUGGUGGGGUAAGUGGCCUACCAAGUCUACGAUCCAUAGCUGGUUUGAGAGGAUGAUCAGCAACACUGGGACUGAGACACGGCCCAGACUCCUACGGGAGGCAGCAGUGGGGGAAUCUUAGACAAUGGGCGGCAAGCCUGAUCUAGCCAUG